rnacentral:rRNA from 1 species
UACAGAGGUCUCAAGCGUUGUUCGGAUUCAUUGGGCGUAAAGGGUGCGUAGGUGGCGCGGUAAGUCGGGUGUGAAAAUCUCGGAGCUUAACUCCGAAAUUGCAUUCGAUACUGCCGUGCUUGAGGACUGGAGAGGAGACUGGAAUUCAUGGUGUAGCAGUGAAAUGCGUAGAGAUCAUGAGGAAGACCAGUGGCGAAGGCGGGUCUCUGGACAGUUCCUGACACUGAGGCACGAAGGCCAGGGGAGCAAACGGG